rnacentral:rRNA from 1 species
GAUGAAGAACGCAGCGAAAUGCGAUACGCAAUGCGAAUUGCAGAACCGCGAGUCAUCAGAUCUUUGAACGCAAGUGGCGAUAGCUUCGGCUAUCAUGUUUGUUUCAGUGUA